AACAGCAUCUUUUCUCUUUAACUACAAACCUCACUCCGGUGCUCAAGAGACUAUAUGGAAUUGACGACCGCCCCGUAUCUGAAGCCUUUAGACCAGUUCCCAAUACUUAGAUUGAAAGAGCAUCUUUCCAGGAAAGGAAGUAACCAAACACUGAUUGACUUAUCGCUUCCAAAUCCUGACUUUCUUAUUAUUCCCUUACCCUAACUCUACUUGAAGAACGAACAACAACUAUCUC
rnacentral:lncRNA from 1 species